GUGAGCCGUAUACAGGGAGACUUGUAAGUACGGUUCUGGGGGAGAGUUCCUAAAAACGUUAGGUGCUUAUCCCAU
rnacentral:ncRNA from 1 species